UUCCGGUUGAUCCUGCCGGACCCGACUGCUAUCAGAGUGGGACUAAGCCAUGCGAGUCAACAUAGCAAUAUGUGGCAUACGGCUCAGUAACACGUAGUCAACAUGCCCAGGGGACGUGGAUAACCUCGGGAAACUGAGGAUAAACCGCGAUAGGUCAUCACUUCUGGAAUGGGUAAUGACUUAAAUCUAUAUGGCCCCUGGAUUGGACUGCGGCCGAUCAGGCUGUUGGUGAGGUAAUGGCCCACCAAACCUGUAACCGGUACGGGCUCUGAGAGGGGGAGCCCGGAGAUGGGCACUGAGACAAGGGCCCAGGCCCUAUGGGGCGCAGCAGGCGCGAAACCUCUGCAAUAGGCGAAAGCUUGACAGGGUUACUCUGAGUGAUUUCCGUUAAGGAGAUCUUUUGGCACCUCUAAAAAUGGUGCAGAAUAAGGGGUGGGCAAGUCUGGUGUCAGCCGCCGCGGUAAUACCAGCACCCCGAGUGGUCGGGACGUUUAUUGGGCCUAAAGCAUCCGUAGCCGGUUCUACAAGUCUUCCGUUAAAUCCACCUGCUUAACAGAUGGGCUGCGGAAGAUACUAUAGAGCUAGGGGGCGGGAGAGGCAAGCGGUACUCGAUGGGUAGGGGUAAAAUCCGUUGAUCCAUUGAAGACCACCAGUGGCGAAGGCGGCUUGCCAGAACGCGCUCGACGGUGAGGGAUGAAAGCUGGGGGAGCAAACCGGAUUAGAUACCCGGGUAGUCCCAG
rnacentral:rRNA from 1 species